ACAGCUGAAAAAAUGGAACAGUGUGGAUGUUUGUCCCUGGGAAGAUGGAAACCAUGGAAACGAGCUGCCCAAUUUAACCAAUGCUUUGCCUCAGGGUGCAAAUGCUAACCAAGAUUCAUCGAACAGGCCACAUCGGACAGUGUUUACUCGAGCCAUUGAGGCAUGCGAUCUGCACUGGCAGGACAGCCACUUACAGCACAUUAUCAGCAGUGACCUAUACACCAACUACUGUUACCAUGACGACACUGAAAACUUGCUCUUUGACUCUCAGGGGUGGCCCCUCUGGCAUGAACAUGUUCCUACAGCCUGUGCGAGAGUGGACGCAUUACGAUCUCAUGGAUAUCCACGAGAAGCACUGAGGCUAGCAAUAGCUAUUGUUAAUACACUAAGAAGGCAGCAGCAGAAACAGCUGG